CUCACUCAUGAAGAUGCAACCAAAGCUGUGGAAGCAGGUGUUGAUGGAAUUAUUGUGUCCAAUCAUGGAGCUCGCCAACUAGACUUUGCUCCUGCCACUGUUUCUGUUCUUGAAGAGGUUGUUCAUGCUGUCAAGGGUAAAAUUCCAGUGCUCUUAGAUGGAGGUGUGCGGCGAGGAACAGAUGUGUUUAAGGCAUUAGCCCUUGGCGCCCUGGCAGUCCUUAUAGGGAGACCAGUUUUAUUUGGGCUAGCAGCAAAGGGAGAGGAGGGAG
rnacentral:misc_RNA from 1 species